AACUUCCGUUAAUUGAUUAUGACGUGCUUGCACUGAAUGAGAUUUUAACACGAAGUGAGUGGCGGACGGGUGAGUAACACGUGGGUAACCUGCCCAGAAGCAGGGGAUAACACCUGGAAACAGAUGCUAAUACCGUAUAACAGAGAAAACCGCCUGGUUUUCUUUUAAAAGAUGGCUCUGCUAUCACUUCUGGAUGGACCCGCGGCGCAUUAGCUAGUUGGUGAGGUAACGGCUCACCAAGGCGA
rnacentral:rRNA from 1 species